rnacentral:lncRNA from 1 species
UCUCUCCCCGGCUCUGGGAGGGGAUUGGGGGCUGGGAGCCCGGACUCCUGGGUUCUCUCCUGGCUCUGGCAUAGGACACGUGUCCCCCUGGGGUAGCUGAUCCUGGCUGAAGGGACCUGCAGCGCCGAGGUCCCAGCUGUGCGGUUGGGGGGUGCUGUGGGGCAAGAUCUCACCUUCCCUCUCCCCCUGCCUCCCCAGAGUCCCUCCCUCCGCCAGUCUCCAGCCCCCCGGCCCGGGAGCCCGGCUCGGCCCAGAAGCCCAGCAGCUUCCUCUUCCGCUCCACGUCGCGGACCGCCAUCAAGCCCGGCUCCGCCUGUGCCCCCCACGACUGCACCGCGGACCCCCAGCACCCCCUGCGGCUACGGGCCGGCUCGCACGACCUGGACGAGAAGGAGUUAACAGCUCAGCUCCGCAAGGUACAGCCAUGCCCCCCCUCAGCCCCCGGGUCCCCCCGUGAGCUCCCGGCACCGAGUCCCCUGGGUGGG